rnacentral:rRNA from 1 species
UUUUUGCAAACAUUAGGAAAAUACUACCUUGUAGAUGCUGGGUACACUAAUGGUCCGGGCUUCUUUGCUCCCUACCGGUCAGUCCGGUACCAUUUGAAAGAAUGGGUGGCUAAUGGAAAUAACCCACAAACUCCAAGAGAGUUAUAUAAUCUGCGACAUGCAUCAGCUAGGAAUGUGAUAGAGAGAACUUUUGGUCUACUAAAGAUGAGAUGGGCUAUUUUGAGGACUAGUUCAUUUUUUGGCAUACGGAAUCAGGUAUCACAUAGUAUUUUGCAAAACCAAGCCUCCGUUUAUUUUUAG